GAUGAACGCUGGCGGCGUGCCUAAUACUUGCAAGUCGAGCGAACGGACGAGAAGCUUGCUUCUCUGAUGUUAGCGGCGGACGGGUGAGUAACACGUGGAUAACCUACCUAUAAGACUGGGAUAACUUCGGGAAACCGUAGCUAAUACCGGAUAAUAUUUUGAACCGCAUGGUUCAAAAGUGAAAGACGGUCUUGCUGUCACUUAUAGAUGGAUCCGCGCUGCAUUAGCUAGUUGGUAAGGUAACGGCUUACCAAGGCAACGAUGCAUAGCCGACCUGAGAGGGUGAUCGGCCACACUGGAACUGAGACACGGUCCAGACUCCUACGGGAGGCAGCAGUAGGGAAUCUUCCGCAAUGGGCGAAAGCCUGACGGAGCAACGCCGCGUGAGUGAUGAAGGUCUUCGGAUCGUAAAACUCUGUUAUUAGGGAAGAACAUAUGUGUAAGUAACUGUGCACAUCUUGACGGUACCUAAUCAGAAAGCCACGGCUAACUACGUG
rnacentral:rRNA from 1 species